rnacentral:rRNA from 1 species
AUUGAACGCUGGCGGCAGGCCUAACACAUGCAAGUCGAACGAGUGGCGGACGGGUGAGUAAUGUCUGGGAACCUGCCUGAUGGAGGGGGAUAACUACUGGAAACGGUAGCUAAUACCGCAUACCAUCAGAUGUGCCCAGAUGGGAUUAGCUUGUUGGUGGGGUAACGGCUCACCAAGGCGACGAUCCCUAGCUGGUCUGAGAGGAUGAACAGACACAAGGGAACUGAGACACGGUCAAGACGACGACGGGAGGCAGUAGGGGGGAAGAGUGCACAAGGGGGGCAAGCCUGAUGCAGCCAUGCCGCGUGUAUGAAGAAGGCCUUCGGGUUGUAAAGUAAUUUAAGCGGGGAGGCGUUACCCACAGAAGAAGCACCGGCUAACUCCGUGCCAGCAGCCGCGGUAAUUC